UUCUAGUCAGGAGGGCUGCUGGGCAUGGAGAAUUAGGCUUGCCUAUGGGGAGCCACAGACCUUCAGAUAUGACAAGCAUCCAAGGCUGAGAAGCAACCGGAAGCUAUGGACAGGGACAAACAGAGGAUUCAGAGUGCCCGAGAUUCAGAUGCCCUUUCAGCCUGUUCCCCACCCAAUGCCGACUGCCAUCUGCUCUGUGCAGCCGCCUGUCUGAGAGUGGAGGGUAUCCAUGGAAACCAGUAUGAAGGUUGCCAAGAGGACUCUGUGGCAGCCUGCCAGAAGGCUUAGAGUCAGCUUGCAUGAUUGAAAGGAACCAGUGAUAACUCGACCACUCCAUACUGCUCUGCCAUGCA